GAUACCCCAGCAAGGGAGAUGAUGAUUGGAGUGGACUUCAGUGGACAUGUACAUGAAAGGAACAGAGGUGAUGAUGAAGUGUUGGAUAAGGAGGAGCCAAUGCAAAACAAAGUUGCCCCUCACCAUUACUUCUCUGACUGCAGUGGGCCACAGAGCAGCAGCAGUGGACAUUAAGUUUAACAUGAUGGACUGUAGAAUAGGGCUGCUGUUUCUAACUCUAUGUUAUGCAGGUGUUUUGGGUCAGACUUUGACUGAGUCUGAACCAGCAGUAAAACGGCCUGGAGAAUCUCACAGAUUGACCUGUACAGCCUCUGGAUUCAACAGCAAUUGGAUGGCCUGGAUCAGACAGGCUGCUGGAAAAGGGCUGGAGUGGAUCUCCACUGUCAGAAAUGAUGGUGGCGACAGUUACUAUGCUCAGUCAGUUCAAGGCCGGUUUACGAUCUCCAGAGACAACAGCAGACAGCAGGUGUAUCUGCAGAUGAACAGUCUGAAGACUGAAGAUUCUGCUGUUUAUCAUUGUGCUUGGGAGUCACAGUGAUUAAAGUUGGCUUAGCAGCUGUACAAAAUCUUACUGAAUUCAUUUGAACUCAUAUGCACAUA